GUCUUUGGCCAGAAUAUUAUCACAGGGGCUUUUCAGGAAUAUGAGGCUUGAUGGACAUCUCUUCUCAGGGAGGUAAGGGAGAUGUCUUCUGCUGUGUUUCCUGCAAGUGAACCUUUCUGCUAAAUAACUGGUAAAGAAUAAAAUGCAAGGGACUCACCCCGACAAGGAACACAUCUCAUGGCCUAAAUACA